GGGGGUGUAGCUCAGUCUGGUUUAGAGCUGGAGCCUUUUAAGCUUCGAGUCGCGGGUUCGAAUCCCGCCGCCCCCACCA
rnacentral:tRNA from 1 species